AGGACGAACGCUGGCGGCGUGCCUAACACAUGCAAGUCGAACGGGGUAGAGAGCUCGGUUUUCUGCUUAGUGGCGAACGGGUGAGUAACGCGUGAGAAACCUGCCUCUCAGUGGGGGACAACAGUUGGAAACGACUGCUAAUACCGCAUAACACUUUAGUACCGCAUGGUACAGAAGUCAAAGCUUUAUGUGCUGAGAGAUGGUCUCGCGUCUGAUUAGCUAGAUGGCGGGGUAACGGCCCACCAUGGCGACGAUCAGUAGCCGGUCUGAGAGGAUGAACGGCCACAUUGGGACUGAGAUACGGCCCAGACUCCUACGGGAGGCAGCAGUGGGGGAUAUUGCACAAUGGGGGAAACCCUGAUGCAGCAACGCCGCGUGAGGGAAGAAGGUCUUCGGAUUGUAAACCUAAGUUGUCAGGGACGAACAAAUGACGGUACCUGAAGAGAAAGCUCCGGCUAACUACGUG
rnacentral:rRNA from 1 species